CUUGUAUCUCAUGUUUAGUUAAAACACUGUGUUAUUUGAGGGUAACAUUUUUUUUGUUAAUUUUCCCAAAUCCCUUCCUGAUGAUACCUCACACACUGGCUUUUCUGGCCACAGCACAAAACUCAGCUGAUUAUCUACAGAGAACAGUCUACAACUCUAUAAUUAUUCCUGUGCCACCUUCCUGGUUCUAACCGAAAGUACAGACUAUUAGACAUCCAUAAUUACGGUUGGAAUAAUUUCUCCUGUUAACAUUAUUCUUACACUUGCCCACCCAAAAACUUGGAACACUUUUCUGCCCACUGACAUAAUUUCAAUUAUGACAUAAUUUC
rnacentral:lncRNA from 1 species